rnacentral:rRNA from 1 species
UACAGAGGUCCCAAGCGUUGUUCGGAAUCACUGGGCGUAAAGCGCACGUAGGCGGAUUUUUAAGUCAGGGGUGAAAUCCUGGAGCUCAACUCCAGAACUGCCUUUGAUACUGGGAAUCUCGAGUCCGGGAGAGGUGAGUGGAACUGCGAGUGUAGAGGUGAAAUUCGUAGAUAUUCGCAAGAACACCAGUGGCGAAGGCGGCUCACUGGCCCGGUACUGACGCUGAGGUGCGAAAGCGUGGGGAGCAAACAGG